rnacentral:rRNA from 1 species
UCAAGCUACAAAGGGCUCACGGAGGAUACCUAGGCACACAGAGGCGAUGAAGGACGUGGUUACCUGCGAUAAGUCUCGGGGAGUUGGAAGCACACUUUGAUCCGGGAAUUUCCGAAUGGGGCAACCCCAUGUACGGCCAACUGAAUAUAUAGGUUGGUGCGAGCUAACCCAGCGAACUGAAACAUCUUAGUAGCUGGAGGAAGAGAAAGUAAAUAACGACUCCCUCAGUAGCGGCGAGCGAACGGGGAACAGCCCAAACCGAUAGUCUUGACUAUCGGGGUUGUGGGACAGCAAUAUGGAUCAACAAGUCUAGAAGAAACGUUUGAAUGGCGUGCCACAGAGGGUGAAAGCCCCGUAAUCGAAAGAUAAGUUGACCUAGCUGUAUCCCGAGUAGCACGGAGCACGUGGAAUUCCGUGUGAAUCUGCGAGGACCACCUCGUAAGGCUAAGUACUACUGUGUGACCGAUAGUGAAACAGUACCGCGAGGGAAAGGUGAAAAGAACCCCGGGAGGGGAGUGAAAUAGAACAUGAAACCGUGAGCUUACAAGCAAUGGGAGCCCGACUAAUCGGGUGACCGUGUGCCUGUUGAAGAAUGAGCCGGCGACUUAUAGGCACUGGCGGGUUAAACCGGAAAUGGUGGAGCCACAGCGAAAGCGAGUCUUAAUAGGGCGUUUGUCAGUGUUUAUAGACCCGAACCCUGGUGAUCUAACCAUGGCCAGGAUGAAGCUUGGGUGAUACCAAGUGGAGGUCCGAACCGACUGAAGUUGAAAAUUCAGCGGAUGAGCUGUGGUUAGGGGUGAAAUGCCAAUCGAACCAGGAGCUAGCUGGUUCUCCCCGAAAUACGUUGAGGCGUAGCGUCUAGUGCUCCAGCAGGGGGGUAAAGCAACCAUUUCGGUGCGGGCUGCGAAAGCGGUACCAAAUCGAUAUGAACUCUGAAUACCCUGUGUGUAACUAGGCAGUCAGACUGUGGGGGAUAAGCUCCAUAGUCAAGAGGGAAACAGCCCAGACCGCCAGCUAAGGUCCCAAAAUUAACGCUAAGUGAUAAAGGAGGUGGGAUUGCCCAGACAACCAGGAGGUUUGCCUAGAAGCAGCCAUCCUCAAAGGAGUGCGUAAUAGCUCACUGGUCGAGCGAUCCUGCGCCGAAAAUGAACGGGGCUAAGCGUUAUACCGAAGCUGCGGAUAAAUUUAUUUAUGGUAGGGGAGCGUUCUAUGUAGGGUGAAGCGUUAGCGUAAGCGGACGUGGACAGCAUAGAAGUGAGAAUGUCGGCUUGAGUAGCGAAAACAUGGGUGAGAAUCCCAUGCCCCGAAACCCUAAGGGUUCCUCCGGCAGGCUCGUCCGCGGAGGGUUAGUCUGGACCUAAGGCGAGGCCGAAAGGCGUAGUCGAUGGAUAACAGGUCAAUAUUCCUGUACCAGAUGUGUUUUGAGAAGGGGGACGGAGAAGGCUAACCAGGCCAGAUGUUGGUUACUGGUUCAAGCGUUCGAGGCUUUGAGAGAUGGAGAAAACAUCUUGAGCUAAGGCGUGAGUACGAGCUGCUACGGCAGCGAAGUUGGUGAUGUCAUGCUUCCAAGAAAAGCCCUAUACUCGUUAAGACACAAAUGCCAGUACCCGAAACCGACACAGGUGGGGUGGUAGAGAAUACCGAGGGGCGCGAGAUAACUCUCUCUAAGGAACUCGGCAAAAUGGCCCCGUAACUUCGGGAGAAGGGGUGCCAGCGAGAGCUGGUCGCAGUGAAGAGGCGCAAGCGACUGUUUACCAAAAACACAGGUCUCCGCUAAGUCGCAAGACGAUGUAUGGGGGCUGACACCUGCCCAGUGCCGGAAGGUUAAGGAAGCUGGUUAGCUUUUAGUGAAGCUGGCGACUGAAGCCCCGGUGAACGGCGGCCGUAACUAUAACGGUCCUAAGGUAGCGAAAUUCCUUGUCGGGUAAG